CCCAAAAGCAGCAGUUGUUGCUGCUGUUAGUUGUUGUGAAUGUGUUGUUCCAGUUGGCUGGCCUCUCUUUUCAGUUUUGGUGCAGGAAAGGUAAAUGCAGCUUGAUAUUGGCUAAGCCUUCUCCUUCCAAUAGGAACUUCUUUCAAUCUAACUGAUUAAGUGGAUUUCUAUUCGAGUUCUUCCUUUUUGUGUAUACUGCACAAUCUGUGGUAAGUAGGAAGUAUGAUUUGUCGCAUUGGUUGGGUACAUCUCUUCCUAUACUAGACCAUGGAGCGGGAAUGGUGAGUUAUUUCUCAGCAAUUAUAUUCAACAUUUAUAACAUACUAGUUUCUGCUAUGAACCUUGGACACGUCAAGAUAAUGUUGAUAGCCAUCUAGGUACUCAUAUGAACUUGAAGUUGGUGAUCCCACUAUGCUACUCUCCAGUUCUUCCUUUUUGGAUAUACUGCAUAAUCUAUAGUAAGUAUGAUUUGUGGUGUUAGUGGGGUACAUAUCUUCCUAGACUAGACCAUGGAGCAGGAAUGGUGAGUUAUUUCUCAGCAAUUAUAUUCAACAUUUAUAAAUUAUAGUUGACAUUUUUAACUUACUAGCUUCUGCUAUUAACUUCAGUCACUUCAUGAUAAUGUUUAUAGCCGUCUAGGUACUCGUAUGAACUUGAACUUGGUGACACCAAUAUGCUACACUCAAGACCCCAAGCUUGACCUCGAUGGGUAUAGGUUAAUGGAAAGGAUGCACCUGGAUGUAAAGGGUAGAACCCCAA